AAAUGCGAUAAGUAAUGUGAAUUGCAGAAUUCAGUGAAUCAUCGAAUCUUUGAACGCACAUUGCGCCCGCCAGCACUCUGGCGGGCAUGCCUGUUCGAGCGUCAUUUCAACCCUCAGAACCCCUUGCGGGAUCUGGCGUUGGGGAUUGGCAUCCAGCCAGCCCCGAAAUCUAGUGGCGGUCCCUCCGCGACCUCCCCUGUGCAGUAGCGAUACCUCGCAGCGGGACAGCGGUCUGACCACGCCGUAAAACCCCCAACUUCUCAAGGUUGACCUCGAAUCAGGUAGGAAUACCUGCUGAACUUAAGC
rnacentral:misc_RNA from 1 species